rnacentral:rRNA from 1 species
CAGUAGCCGCGGUAAUACAGAGGGUGCAAGCGUUAAUCGGAAUUACUGGGCGUAAAGCGCGCGUAGGUGGUUUGUUAAGUUGGAUGUGAAAUCCCCGGGCUCAAUCUGGGAACUGCAUCCAAAACUGGCAAGCUAGAGUAUGGUAGAGGGUGGUGGAAUUUCCUGUGUAGCGGUGAAAUGCGUAGAUAUAGGAAGGAACACCAGUGGCGAAGGCGACCACCUGGACUGAUACUGACACUGAGGUGCGAAAGCGUGGGGAGCAAACAGGAUUAGAUACCCCCGUAGUCCCUGUCUCUUAUAC